GCCGAGCCGAGCAAGCGGUGUCGGGCCCUCUCCCCAAAGUUUCAGCGCAGGCUAGCCCGGGCGGGGAAGAGGGAAAGAGGGGGAGGAGAGCCGCCGGGGUGUGGGAGGGGCGCCGGGCUGAGCGAGAGGGGGGCCGGGCUCGGUGGGCGGGAGGCCGCGGGCGGAGGGAGGGAAGGAGCGCGCGCGGUCGGGCCCGGAGGGGCGCAAGCGGAGGCAGGGGCCGAAGUUACCGUGUCCUCGGCGACCGGGCGGCCAGGCGGCCAGAGCUGCCGUCAGUCUCGGUUCCUCCGCGGCGAGGAUUUGGGGCCGCCCCAACGAAAGCGAAACUGUAAGGCCCGGCGCGGCAGGAGGCGGAGUCGCACGGGGCAGUCUCCCGGGACGGCCGGGGUUGCGGGCACCGCCUCCCGCUCGCGCUGGUGCGCUCCCCGGAGUGGCUCGCGAGCCCAACGACCCGCUCCAACGCGCGCACCGUCCCGGAGGGCGCCCCCUGCAGAACUGGUCGCCGGAUCUGCACCGUGGUCCGCGCGCGUCGCCCGGGGGGAAGGCGCCCUGGCAAAGUUGGCCGCACACCCGGAGAGGGCGCCGGGUAAAGUUUGCCGACAGCUCUACGACCCCGACGCCGCACUCACCGUCCGCGGGAGAGCACCCUCUGCAUCCCCAGCAGCGCUCGAAGUGACCCGGGAGCGCGCUCUGCAAACCGGCCGCGCGCACAGCCCCAGCCGCGCACGCGGAAGAGCGCGCUCCGCGGACUUCUCGGCGCUCGACGACUCGGCGCUCGCCAGGGGCGCCCGUCCUUCUCUCCUGCCGCUGCUGGCCGUGGUCUGCACCUCCACUCGGGCUUCCGCACCAGUGUCGGGGACCCAGUCCCACGGCCAGAGGGCUUUUCCCCAAUCAGGCCCCAGGCCCCAAAAUGUGCUGUUGGCGCCCCAACCCUGGGGAGGGAGGUGCUCGGCUCCCGCAGCAGAUGGAGUUACCUUCUCCGCGGCCGGGCUUCUGGGGCCAGUCGUGGGGUCGCCGGUGGGCUUCCGGUGUCCACUCUUGGGGACGCCUCGAUUUGCGCGUGGACGGUAG
rnacentral:lncRNA from 1 species